rnacentral:rRNA from 1 species
GACGAACGCUGGCGGCGUGCUUAACACAUGCAAGUCGAGCGGUAAGGCCCCUUCGGGGGUACACGAGCGGCGAACGGGUGAGUAACACGUGGGUGACCUGCCCUCAGCUCUGGGAUAAGCCUGGGAAACUGGGUCUAAUACCGGAUAUGACUCCAUGACGCAUGUCGUGGGGUGGAAAGCCUUGUGCGGCUGAGGAUGGGCCCGCGGCCUAUCAGCUUGUUGGUGGGGNGAUGGCCUACCAGGGCGACGACGGGUAGCCGGCCUGAGAGGGCGACCGGCCACACUGGGACUGAGACACGGCCCAGACUCCUACGGGAGGCAGCAGUGGGGAAUCUUGCGCAAUGGGCGAAAGCCUGACGCAGCGACGCCGCGUGAGGGAUGACGGCCU